rnacentral:rRNA from 1 species
GACGAACGCUGGCGGCGUGCUUAACACAUGCAAGUCGAGCGGUAAGGCCCUUCGGGGUACACGAGCGGCGAACGGGUGAGUAACACGUGGGUGAUCUGCCUCGCACUUCGGGAUAAGCCUGGGAAACUGGGUCUAAUACCGGAUAUGACCUUUCAGUGCAUGCUGUUGGGUGGAAAGAUUUAUCGGUGCGAGAUGGGCCCGCGGCCUAUCAGCUUGUUGGCGGGGUAACGGCCCACCAAGGCGACGACGGGUAGCCGACCUGAGAGGGUGACCGGCCACACUGGGACUGAGACACGGCCCAGACUCCUACGGGAGGCAGCAGUGGGGAAUAUUGCACAAUGGGCGAAAGCCUGAUGCAGCGACGCCGCGUGAGGGAUGACGGCCUUCGGGUUGUAAACCUCUUUCGACAGGGACGAAGCGCAAGUGACGGUACCUGUAGAAGAAGCACCGGCCAACUACGUG